UGCCCUGUGACAAUGUUUAACGGCCGCGGUAUUUUGACCGUGCGAAGGUAGCGUAAUCACUUGUCUUUUAAAUGAAGACCUGUAUGAAAGGCAUCACGAGAGUUUAACUGUCUCUAUUUCCUAAUCAAUGAAAUUGAUCUUCUCGUGCAGAAGCGAGAAUAUUACCAUUAGACGAGAAGACCCUAUGGAGCUUCAAACACUUAGGUUAAUUAUGUAAAAUUAUGAUCCUUAGGGAAAAAAUCACUUAUACAAUACUCCUAAUUUAACUGUUUUUGGUUGGGGUGACCGAGGGGGAGAAAAAAUCCCCCUUAUCGACUGAGUACUAAAGUACUUAAAAAUUAGAACGACAGUUCUGAUUAAUAAAACAUUUACCGAAAAAUGACCCAGAUUUUUCUGAUCAAUGAACCAAGUUACCCUAGGGAUAACAGCGCAAUCCUCUCCCAGAGUCCCUAUCGCCGAGAGGGUUUACGACCUCGAUGUUGGAUCAGGACAUCCUAAU
rnacentral:rRNA from 1 species